rnacentral:rRNA from 1 species
GCAUCGAUGAAGAACGCAGCGAAAUGCGAUAAGUAAUGUGAAUUGCAGAAUUCAGUGAAUCAUCGAGUCUUUGAACGCACAUUGCGCCCGCCAGAAUUCUGGCGGGCAUGCCUGUUCGAGCGUCAUUUCAACCCUCGAGCUCCCCUUUCGGGGGGAGCCCGGCGUUGGGGACCCGGCGCUAACAACGCCGGCCCCGAAAUGGAGUGGCGGCCCGUCCGCGGCGACCUCUGCGUAGUAACAACCACUCGCACCGGGACCCGGGCGCGGCCACGCCGUAAAACACCCCACCUUCCGAAUGUUGACCUCGAAUCAGGUAGGAAUACCCGCUGAACUUAAGCAUAUCAAUAAGCGGAGGA